CAGACUCUGCAUUCCAAAAUACCACACCUAAACUCUGUGCUCAAUAUCUCUCCAUUGAAUGUACCAUACAUCCCAAAUAUUAAUAUGGACUAUCAAAUUUCCUUACAGUAUCCUUACAAUUAAAUGGUAUUGGUAUCUCAGCAUCAAACACAAACCCACCUAUACAUCAUAGAGGCGGAAAAAUUAUUUAGUCCCUCGAUGCAGAUUGAGAACCUAUUGGGCUAAUAUAUUCAGAAAUCAACAUUUUUCAAUCAUUGUAUAGCACAUUUACAUGCUGAAUCUUCAUUGUGUACGGACAGUUAUCCCACUCAUGAUCUGGAGGUCUGGGAUAGUUCAAUUAAAUUUCGUAACAUAACCUUACUGUAUGAAUAAAGAUAAACACCUUAGAAAUGAUUUCCAUCUCCAUUCCCUUGAGAUGCCACCAUGUUUAGGGGAGCCCUGACAUCAACCAAAAAGGUCCAGUCUCUAUUUUAGGAAACCCAAGGUGCUGAUAGAAUGUGACAUGUGUGCAGAUUAAACCUCUUUCCGCCCAGAAAGAUAUACUAUCGUGUUAGCAAGAGCAAGAGGAAACUAAAAAAUGUCAACCAUUAGUUAAUAAAAUCUGUUUUGAAUUGUUUCAGUAUUUCUUUUUUUUUUUUUUUUAGCACUCAUGAAUAUUCACUAUUGCAGAUUCUGCCUGUGAGAUUGAACACAGCUUUCAGGGACAAACUCUGAAGCAUGGCAGUCCUCAGCAUUCCACUCACAAAGAUAUGAACAGUCAAGUUCAGGGGAGGGUUACACAUUGAAACAGGCUAACACGUACCAGGAGCUGUCGCUAAAGGCCAGCACCAACCCAGACAACACUGCACUACUGUUCACUAAUAAAUUGGAUUUCACCACGAGCACGUUAGCACUCACUCUGGACUUGUGAUCGUGUUUGUGUUCUGUGUGUGUUUAUACUGUGUUUAUUAUUUUGGGACUGAACCCCGAAGUUUCAUUGUGCAAUACAAUUUGCUGUGUAUUGCCUGGGAUCAUUAUUUAUGGUCACCAAAUGGCCAGGAUUAUAAAAAUAAAGGAUUGUUUGGACCGUGAA